UACGGGGGGGGCAAGCGUUGUUCGGAAUUACUGGGCGUAAAGGGCGCGUAGGCGGCCGCCUAAGUCAGACGUGAAAUCCCUCGGCUCAACCGGGGAACUGCGUCUGAUACUGGGUGGCUUGAAUUCGGGAGAGGGAUGCGGAAUUCCAGGUGUAGCGGUGAAAUGCUUAGAUAUGACAUAGAACACCAAUUGCGAAGGCAGCUCGUUACACGAAUAUUGACUCUGAGGCACGAAAGCGUGGGGAUCAAACAGG
rnacentral:rRNA from 1 species